UACGGGGGGGCAAGGCGUUGUUCGGAAUUACUGGGCGUAAAGGGCUCGUAGGCGGCCAACUAAGUCCGACGUGAAAUCCCCAGGCUUAACCUGGGAACUGCGUCGGAUACUGGUUGGCUUGAAUCCGGGAGAGGGAUGCGGAAUUCCAGGUGUAGCGGUGAAAUGCGUAGAUAUCUGGAGGAACACCGGUGGCGAAGGCGGCAUCCUGGACCGGCAUUGACGCUGAGGCGCGAAAGCCAGGGGAGCAAACGGG
rnacentral:rRNA from 1 species